rnacentral:rRNA from 1 species
GGCGGCGUGCUUCAAACGAUGCAAGUCGAACGAGGUUGAAAGGAGCUUGCUCCUGACAACCUAGUGGCGGACGGGUGAGUAACGCGUGAGCAAUCUGGCUAUUACAGGGGAUAACACUUGGAAACGAGUGCUAAUACCGCGUAUGACCACAACCUGGCAUCAGGAAGGGGUGAAAGGAGAAAUCCGGUAAUAGAUGAGCUUGCGUUUCAUUAGCUAGUUGGUGAAGGUUAACGGGCCCACCAAGGCGACGAUGAAUAGCCGAUCUGAGAGGAUGAACGGCCACACUGGAAUUUGAGAACGGUCCAGACUCCUACGGGAGGCAGCAGUUAGGAAUAUUGGGCAAUGGAGGAAACUCUGACCCAGCAACGCCGCGUGAAGGAAGAAGGUUUUCGGAUUGUAAACUUCUGAUCUGUGGGAAGAAGAAAGUGACGGUACCGCAGGAGAAAGCCACGGCUAACUACGUGCC